UACGGAGGAUCCAAGCGUUAUCCGGAUUUAUUGGGUUUAAAGGGUGCGUAGGCGGAUUGAUAAGUUAGAGGUGAAAUGUCCGAGCUCAACUCGGGAACUGCCUCUAAUACUGUUGAUCUAGAGAGUAGAUGCGGUAGGCGGAAUGUAUGGUGUAGCGGUGAAAUGCUUAGAGAUCAUACAGAACACCGAUUGCGAAGGCAGCUUACCAAUCUAUAUCCGACGUUGAGGCACGAAAGCGUGGGGAGCAAACAGG
rnacentral:rRNA from 1 species